rnacentral:rRNA from 1 species
UUAUCUCUGUAGAGUCUGCAUAUCAAUAAGCGGAGGAAAAGAAACUAACAAGGAUUCCCCUAGUAACGGCGAGUGAAGCGGGAAGAGCUCAAAUUUGAAAUCUUAAAGGGUUUCCCUUUACGAAUUGUAGUUUAAAGAAGUGUUUUCUGUUGGAGUUUCGGUAAAAGUUCUUUGGAAUAGGACAUCAUAGAGGGUGAGAAUCCCGUAUUUGACCAUUAUUUCCAACUUUGUGAUACACUUUCAAAGAGUCGGAUUGUUUGGGAAUGCAGUCCAAAAUGGGUGGUAAAUUUCAUCUAAAGCUAAAUACUGGCGAGAGACCGAUAGCGAACAAGUACCGUGAGGGAAAGAUGAAAAGAACUUUGAAAAGAGAGUUAAACAGUACGUGAAAUUGUCAAAAGGGAAGCGUUUGACACCAGUGUUGUUUUCUCGAAAAUCUAUUAAAAAUGGCCGGAUUUUGUGUUGUAUUGACUUUAUCAGCUUUCUGCACUUUUUUCUUGUCUUUUUUAAUGCACUUUUCGUUUAACAAGUCAGCAUCAGUUUCUUUUGUUGUAAAAAGGUCAUUGGAAGGUGGCUUUCUUUUCGGAGAAAGUGUUUAUAGCCUUUGACUUCCUGCAAUCGGAGAGACUUGAGGUCUGCAGCGUAGAUCCUUCGGGGUUAGAUGCAUUUGUGCUAAGCUAUAGCCUUUCAUAGACAACUUGUUGACUAUGAUCAGUCAUGUAGCUUACUCGCUUAUGUCAUUUUACCUACGCUUAGGAUGUUGAACGCGCACAGAGUCUC